UCCCUACGGGAGGCAGCAGUCGGGAAUAUUGCGCAAUGGAGGAAACUCUGACGCAGUGACGCCGCGUAUAGGAAGAAGGUUUUCGGAUUGUAAACUAUUGUCGUUAGGGAAGAUAAAAGACUGUACCUAAGGAGGAAGCCCCGGCUAACUAUGUGCCAGCAGCCGCGGUAAUACAUAGGGGGCAAGCGUUAUCCGGAAUUAUUGGGUGUAAAGGGAGCGUAGACGGCCAGACAAGUCUGAAGUGAAAAUCCAGCGCUUAACGUUGGAAGUGCUUUGGAAACUGCCGGGCUAGAGUGCAGGAGGGG
rnacentral:rRNA from 1 species